rnacentral:rRNA from 1 species
GACGAACGCUGGCGGCGUGCUUAACACAUGCAAGUCGAACGGAAAGGCCCUGCUUUUGUGGGGUGCUCGAGUGGCGAACGGGUGAGUAACACGUGAGUAACCUGCCCUUGACUUUGGGAUAACUUCAGGAAACUGGGGCUAAUACCGGAUAGGAGCUCCUGCUGCAUGGUGGGGGUUGGAAAGUUUCGGCGGUUGGGGAUGGACUCGCGGCUUAUCAGCUUGUUGGUGGGGUAGUGGCUUACCAAGGCUUUGACGGGUAGCCGGCCUGAGAGGGUGACCGGCCACAUGGGGACUGAGAUACGGCCCAGACUCCUACGGGAGGCAGCAGUGGGGAAUAUUGCACAAUGGGCGGAAGCCUGAUGCAGCAACGCCGCGUGCGGGGUGACGGCCUUCGGGUUGUAAACCGCUUUCGCCUGUGACGAAGCGUGAGUGACGGUAAUGGGUAAAGAAGCACCGGCUAACUACGUG